UCUCUUUACCCUUUAUUCCCUUAGCCAUUUUUAGCAUUAUCUCCUUAUUUCCAAGAUCUGUUCUUAUCUUAAUCUCCUUUAUUUUCUUGGGAUUCCAUUAUUUCUUGAAGAAAAUCAGCCAUGGGUCGUACUUCCUCCAUCCCCCGUUGUCUUAUCCCCUUCCGUAUUUGCGGUUCACAAAAUAUGGAGAAAUUGAAGCUUCGAAUUGUGAUCUCUAUUAUCAGAUCUUGAUACUAGCAAGUCAAUAAGGUUCAUCUCUGACAUGAGUGGUGACUGUAUUCGUAAUGAAAGACACCGGCGUUAGGAUCUAGGUGGCGAAAAACCUCGUCGUCUGACAUUUGUAGAUCUAAAUAAGUGUGUCAUGGAUGAGAGAUUCAUUAGUUAGAAGAAUUAAAACAUACGUUGUUAAUUUGUUUAUUUUAAUUUGCGUAAUUUCAUUUAUUCAACUUUGUAAGAUACUCCUACUUUGUACUUAUAAUGUAAUACGAGUAGUAUAGAAACUCAGAUCUAUAAUUCUUGUAUUCCUUAUUUGAUUAAUAAUAAUGACACAUGUUUAGUAUAUGAAGGUUUUUAUCUCCAAAACUUUAAUAUUAUGUGCGCA